GGCCAGACUCCUACGGGAGGCAGCAGUGAGGAAUAUUGGUCAAUGGGCUUACGCCUGAACCAGCCAAGUCGCGUGAGGGAAGACUGCCCUAUGGGUUGUAAACCUCUUUUGUCAGGGAGCAAUUGGCGCUACGUGUAGCGUUAUCGAGAGUACCUGAAGAAAAGGCAUCGGCUAACUCCGUGCCAGCAGCCGCGGUAAUACGGAGGAUGCGAGCGUUAUCCGGAUUUAUUGGGUUUAAAGGGUGCGUAGGCGGAAUGCCAAGUCAGCGGUAAAAUCGCGGGGCUCAACCUCGCUCCGCCGUUGAAACUGGGGAUCUAGAGUGUGCGAGAGGUAUGCGGAAUGCGUGGUGUAGCGGUGAAAUGCAUAGAUAUCACGCAGAACCCCGAUUGCGAAGGCAGCAUACCGGUGCACAACUGACGCUCAGGCACGAAAGCGUGGGUAUCGAACAGGAUUAGAUACCCCAGUA
rnacentral:rRNA from 1 species